UUUAAAUAUCUUCUUUGAUAGUUAUCCAGGUGGUUCCACUUGACCUCAUGCCAGAAGAUUGGCAUCAGGUGCUAGGCUUGUCUUGUUUUCCUGUCAGAAGAUUGAUAUCAGGUUUAGAGUGUUCUUGUGUCAGAAGAUUGGUGCCGAGUGUAGGACUCGGGUUGAUCUUGUCAGACUCAGAAGCUUCUGGUCUGGGGCAACGGUUAACAAGUCUCUUCAACUGGCAGGUCCUUCCCAAUUUUUCCAGCCACACUGCCAUGCCCUAGUCUUCUACCUCUUUUUUUUUUUUUUGGUACUGGGGAUCAAACUCAGGACCUUGUGCCUGCAAGGCAGGUGCAGUGCUACUGAGCUAAAUCCAUGGUCCUCUUCUCUUUUGAAGGUAGUUAUUCAGUCUACUACAUUUUUUUUGGUACCAGGGAUCAAACUUGGGACCUUGCUACAUUUUUUUUUUUGAUAUUUCCUUACUGCCUAUGAACCAACAAUGCAGUGAAAAAUAUGCUUUAUGCAAGAUCUAAUUAUUUUGUGGUGGGAAGCCUUUCAGUACUCUGUACCAGCCUUUUAUACUUCUAGAAGCAAACAUUCUCUUAAGAAGUAUUAAAAUAUUCAUAAAGUUUCACUCCAAACCUAGGCAGUCAGAAUCUCUAAGGUUAGGUUUAUGAAAUAUGAUUAAAAUAUAUGGUAAGUGUUUAAGUUUUUAAAAAAUUUAUUUCGGUAAAACAUGCAUUGCUGUUAAUCCCCCUCAAAAUGCUCCCCUUCACUUUCAGCACCUCCCAUCAUUCUUUCCACUUUCUGCAGCUGUUCUGCAGAAAGUCCUCUUUGUGAGUGUCUUUAUGAGGUGUGAUCAACAAUACAGCAGAUGCCGCUGCUAAGCACCAUCCAGCAAAAUGGCAGAAUCGUAAAAACAUGACAGGGUGUCCUCCUUUACCCUUUUCACCACAUCUGGCACUGUGUGACUUUUGGGUCUUCCCCGAAGUCCAAUUUACCAUGAAAGGGAAAUAUUUUGGAUCAAUUCAGGACAUUGAAGCCCUCACAGCAGCCCGACCAGAGACACACAACAAAAGGGGACUUCCAGAACAGCAUCAGAAAGUGGCGAGAAUGACAGGAAAAGGGUACUAGAGCAGGCGCAGAACUUCAUCCACAGUGGCCGGAUCAUGGGGCUUCUGGGGAGAAGAUGAGGCCAAGUCACCAUCCGUCUCCCGAGAAGGAAGUGGCUUGGUCCAGUCCACCCAGCUUCCAGCUUCCAGCCCUGCAGUCUGGGAGCAUAGUGUGCAGGCACACAGCUGUAGCGGUGUUAACACCUAAUUGCCUGCAUCUUCACAAAGCCUACCUCUCUCCUUUAAGGAAAGGAAACACCUUUUGUUUUGUAUCCAUUGUCUGCCAGUUUCUGGCCUGUAGGACAAUUAGAUAAAGAUGUACUCAAGGAUGAAUAAAUGUUCUUAUAAAGCAA